rnacentral:lncRNA from 1 species
ACUAUUUCAGAAAGCAGCCACAGGCCCUGUCUGGGGCAUCCUCAGAUGUCAGCAUCUCAAGGCAGCACAGGUGACAGGCUCUCUGCAAAGAGAAAGGAAUUUGUUAAUUGUCAUUGCUGAAGCCCUUGACUUGGACACUGUGCAGCUGGCAGAUCCCAGACCCUCCCAGAAAUGAGCACCUCUGGUCCUCCCUGCAGUCAAGGCAACAGACAAGAAGGCAGUGAGUUUGCCAAGCCUGGAGGGGGGUGGCUCAGGAGCACUGCAGACUCACUCUGCAGGGUGGCUGCCUCAGUGUUCCCAUCUGAAAAAGGGGAACAGGUAAGACGGCUCAGAUUAUUUCAGAGGUGCUUCUAGCAGUGACCUCCUGCCAAGCUGGCUUUUGGAAGAUGUGUUAAGUCUGUGGUUUCACAGGACACGUUGCCACUUUCUCCUCGGAAGGCAGCGAGAGCCUCAGCAUCAGAGGAGGGACACUGUGUAGGUGCGAGGGGUGUAGGACCUGUGAACUCUACCUCUUUGCCUCAGAUCUUCCCUCCGGACCUGCUCCUCGCCUUAACCCAUGCCCUGGGUUCCCGGCUCUCUCUUGUGGCAGAUCCUGGCUCACUCCUGCUUCUCCAGGAAGUGGUUCUCCUUCCUUCUGCAGCGGCCAUAUCCAAAGAUCUUGCAGAUCCUGGGGCUGGUGUUGAAGAAGGACCUGGAAGGAAGGCUCCAGGUAGAAGGCAGGUGGCGGGGCUCCAGAGACAAAGGAGGGUCAAUAAGAAGUUGGUCAUCACAGCGGUCUACACAGCAAGCAGCAGAAACAACCGGCAUGGCCAAGCAUGGUGACUCACACCUGUAAUCCCAGCACUUUUGGAGGCCGAGGUGGGUGGAUCACCUGAGGUCAGGAGUUCGAGACCAGGCUGACCAACAUAGAGAAACCCUGCCUCUACUAAAAAUACAAAAAUUAACCAGGUGUGGUGGCAUGUGUCUGUAGUCCCAGCUACUUGGGAGGCUGAGGCAGGAGAAUUGCUUGAACCUGGGAGGCGGAGGUUGCAGUGAGCCGAGAUCAUGCUACUGCACUACAGCCUGGGCAACAGAGUGAGACUUCAUCUCAAAAAAAAAAAAAAAAAAAAAAAAAAAAAAGGUCCACCUGGUGCCCCUGGCUUCAACACCAAUGGGCUCACCGUGGCCACACGGGUCCUCUUUCAGGCCCUUGUGUCACUCUCUCCCAUGCUGACCAGCUCUGGCCACAAAGCUGCCUCUUCCAUCACUGGGAGCUCUUCCCCACCUCGGAGCUGCUCCCGUCACCUGGAUUGUCUUCCCUCCACAUUCCUGCCACCUCCUUCUGCUCAGCCUAAAGGUCACUUUCUCACAGAAGCUGUCCCUGAGCCUCAAUCUAAACUGCAUCCCCACAAGGACACAAAGAUGUGAGCAAUAAACACUAAGGAUUCCAGAAGGGGGGAGGGAGGAGAGCAAAAGUUGAAAAACUACCCGUUGGGUACUAUAUUCACUGCUUGGGCGACGGGAUCGUUAGAAGCCCAAACCUCAGCAUCAUGCAAUACACCCGUGCAGCAAACCUGCACACGUACUUUCUGAAUCUAAAAGAAUUUCUAAAAUAAAAUAAAUUGUACCCCCUUAGUUCUUUCUGAGCACCCUCUUUUUAUCUUCAUAACACCAUCAUUUGUAUUUAUGGAAUGAUUAUGCAUCAUUAUUUGGUAAAUGACCUCACCAGCUAGACUCUAAAUCAAAAAGGGCUGGGGCUGUAUCUGACAUAUUCUCAGUUGUAUCAGCAGCACCUAGCACGCGGCAUCUAACAUAAAUGAUACUUAUUUGUGGUUUGGCUUAA